GACGAACGCUGGCGGCGUGCUUAACACAUGCAAGUCGAACGGAAAGGCCCUGCUUUUGUGGGGUGCUCGAGUGGCGCACGGGGGAGUAACACGUGAGUAACAUGCACUUGAAUUUGGGGUAUCUCCAGGAAACUGGGGCUCAUACCGGAUAGGAGCUCUUGCUGCAUGGUGGGGGUUGGAAAGUUUCGGCGGUGGGGGCUGGACUCGCGGCUUAUCAGCCUGUUGGUGGGGUAGGGGCUUACCAAGGCUUUGACGGGUAGCCGGCCUGAGAGGGUGACCGGCCACAUUGGGACUGAGAUACGGCCCAGACUCCUACGGGAGGCAGCAGUGGGGAAUAUUGCACAAUGGGCGGAAGCCUGAUGCAGCAACGCCGCGUGCGGGAUGACGGCCUUCGGGUUGUAAACCGCUUUCGCCUGUGACGAAGCGUGAGUGACGGUAAUGGGUAAAGAAGCACCGGCUAACUACGUG
rnacentral:rRNA from 1 species